GAUGAACGCUGGCGGCGUGCCUAAUACAUGCAAGUCGAGCGAACAGAUGAGGAGCUUGCUCCUCUUACGUUAGCGGCGGACGGGUGAGUAACACGUGGAUAACCUACCUAUAAGACUGGGAUAACUUCGGGAAACCGGAGCUAAUACCGGAUAAUAUAUUGAACCGCAUGGUUCAAUAGUGAAAGACGGUUUUGCUGUCACUUAUAGAUGGAUCCGCGCCGCAUUAGCUAGUUGGUAAGGUAACGGCUUACCAAGGCAACGAUGCGUAGCCGACCUGCGAGAGUGAUCGGCCGCCCGGGAACUGGGACAGGGACCAGACGACUAAGGGAGGCACCAGUAGGGAAUCUUACGCAAUGGGCGAAAGCCUGACGGAGCAACGCCGCGUGAGUGAUGAAGGUCUUCGGAUCGUAAAACUCUGUUAUUAGGGAAGAACAAAUGUGUAAGUAACUAUGCACGUCUUGACGGUACCUAAUCAGAAAGCCACGGCUAACUACGUG
rnacentral:rRNA from 1 species